rnacentral:lncRNA from 1 species
UGCUAAUUUUCUAGGCUUGCCUGAUUUGAAACACUGGAGUGAUACUCUGGGGCUGUUUCCAUUGCAGCACAUGAGGUGAUUACAUUUGGAUUUGUUUCUUGGAGAAGACCCAGAAAAGGAACUCUAAUGGAAAGUCCUGCAAUGGUGAUACCCCUGAGACUCUAUUAACAAGCACCAUUACAUCACUGCUCACUUGAAGAAGAUGUUUUGUAGAUCUGAAUUUUCAAGAGCAAAUAUAUAAAGAUGUGAGAGUCACAAGUACUAAGAUGCAGAACAUCAUCUCUGCUGAAGAACGAAAAGAAAAAUUCAGCAUCACAUCAGUGACCUGAUUUCCAGAGGAACAGCUCUCAAAGUCCACAGGAGGUGCUCAGCAU